AUUGAACGCUGGCGGCAUGCCUAACACAUGCAAGUCGAACGGCAGCAUGGUCUAGCUUGCUAGACUGAUGGCGAGUGGCGAACGGGUGAGUAACGCGUAGGAAUAUACCUUAUAGAGGGGGAUAACCUGGGGAAACUCAGGCUAAUACCGCAUGUUAUCUAAGGAUUAAAGCUGGGGACCUUAGGGCCUGGCGCUAUAAGAAUAGCCUGCGUCCGAUUAGCUAGUUGGUGGGGUAAAGGCCUACCAAGGCGACGAUCGGUAGCUGGUCUGAGAGGAUGAUCAGCCACACUGGGACUGAGACACGGCCCAGACUCCUACGGGAGGCAGCAGUGGGGAAUAUUGGACAAUGGGGGCAACCCUGAUCCAGCAAUGCCGCGUGUGUGAAGAAGGCCUGAGGGUUGUAAAGCACUUUCAGUGGGGAGGAGGGAUACGUUGGUUAAGAGCUGAUGUAUUGGACGUUACCCACAGAAGAAGCACCGG
rnacentral:rRNA from 1 species